UUCCGGUUGAUCCUGCCGGAGGCUACCGCUAUUGGAGUUCGAUUAAGCCAUGCGAGUCGCGAGUCUUAGGGACUCGGCGUACCGCUCAGUAACACGUGGGUAACCUGCCCUAUGCUGGGGGAUAACCUCGGGAAACUGAGAAUAAUACCCCAUAGUUCACCACGCCUGGAACGGUGGGUGGACCAAAGCUCCGGCGGCAUAGGAUGGGCCUGCGGCGUAUCAGGUUGUAGGGGGUGUAAUGUACCCUCUAGCCCUCUACGCGUACGGGUGUUGAGAGACAUCGCCCGGAGAUGGAUUCUGAGACACGAAUCCAGACCCUACGGGGUGCAGCAGGCGCGAAAACUUGGCAAUGCGAGAAAUCGUGACCAGGGAACUCCAAGUGCAUCGGGUAAGACCGAUGCUUUUCUUGACUCUUCAAAGGUCUUGGAAUAAGGGGUGGGUAAGGACGGUGCCAGCCGCCGCGGUAAUACCGGCGCCCCAAGUGGUAGUCGCUUUUAUUGGGCCUAAAACGUCCGUAGCCGGUCUGGUACAUUCGUGGGUAAAUCAACCAGCUCAACUGGUUGAAUUCUGCGAGCACGGCCAGACCUGGGACCGGGAGAGGUGUGGGGUGCUCUCAGGGUAGGGGUAAAAUCCUGUCAUCCUGAGGGGACCACCUGUUGCGAAGGCGCCACACUAGAACGGAUCCGACGGUCAGGGACGAAGCCUAGGGGCACGAACCGGAUUAGAUACCCGGGUAGUCCUAGGUGUAAACGCUGUGGACUUGAUGUUGGGGGCGCUCCGAGCGCACUCAGUGUCGAAGCGAAGGUGAUAAGUCCACUGCCUGGGGAGUACGGUCGCAAGGCUGAAACUUAAAGGAAUUGGCGGGGGAGCACCGCAACCUGAGGAUUGUGCGGUUUAAUUGGAGUCAACGCCGGG
rnacentral:rRNA from 1 species